AAGCCACCCAGGUGCUGGCCCUUCUGUUGUUAUUCUCCAAAAAGUAUUAGCACAAUUUACUAUAACUCACAAAAUGUAACUGCCUCCUCUCUGGCCCUCCCCAAAGCACACACCUGUAUGUUCCCACCCUCAUGAGCAAGGGCCAUGUCUUGUAACAGUGACAUCCUCAGUUCUUUGGACUUUACCUGGCACAUCGAAAAGGUGGUUAUGCUAUUCAGAGGUAUA
rnacentral:lncRNA from 1 species